AUGCCAACCAACCACUCCGUCCUAAAGACGGACUCACAAGCUGUGGCUGCUCGCCCCCAAAUUGCCCCGGACUGCCUGAAACAAGGAACAAGAAAAGUUAUUCACAGCAUCACACCAGGAAAGGUAGUUGCGUACCGCCGAAAAGGGCCCUCUCCAAAGCAGACUUGGCAACUACAGGUGCUCACCGCUAACAAGCGGGGCCGAGGGUGCGGGGAGCGGUCACCUGCCCUCCUGGUGUUAACCAGAAACUCCUCGUGGCUCGCUCCCUGCCAGCAGCCUGUGUGCCGAGAAGCGAAGCAGGCCCUGAGACUGGUCCUGGGGUCGUCGGAGAAUGGGGGCUUCCACCUCUCGCCUCUUCAGGGCUCCCGGCCCAGGCAGCAGAGGGUGUGCCCGCCCUCCCGCCGGCGUCCCGAGUACAGGGGUUACCAGCCACAGGUUCGGAGAACUUGUCCGGCGCAGCACACCACGGCGCCGCCGCGGCGACUCUCGCGCUCCGGGGCUCUUACCUUAGCCGUGACUGCCGCCAGGCAGAGGAAAACACGGAUGAACCGGGUGGCGCCGCCACCUACGAGGCUCAGGGCGUCCGGGUCAGGGUCCCGGCAGGCGCUCUCCUCCUUCGGGCGGCGGUGCCAAGCGCAGAGUUCGGGACUGCCCCCGGCUUCAAAUGCCGCGGCGAGGGUCCGGGUUGUCCACGCUGAACACUGUCCCUUCUUCCUCUUCCUCCGGGGCCGCUGCUUGGAGCUGCUCCCGGCCCGAGGGACUCUCUCGAGCCGGAGGCGCCCCGCAUGGGCAGGGGCCUGGGUCCGCCUCGGGUUGGGUCCAGGGAGCGGCCGCCGGGGCCGACUCCACCUCCCGCGCUCCCAGCCGAUUCGCCCCUUCAGGGCAGGGCCUGCCCGCGAAUGGCCCGGCGAGGCAAGCGCGGCCGCGCCCCCAGCUUCGGGCGCCCGGGCUCCGGCGCGGCGGCGGGGCAGGAGCAGUCCGGCCGGGCCGGGCGCCGAGCGCAGCGGCGCGGGGCGGGGCGGGGGGGGCGCUGCAGCCGGCCGCGGCGCGCUCUCCCCCCGGGCCUGCGCCGCCCGCCCGCGGCUCCGCGGGAAGGAGGCGCCGGAGAGGGCCUCGCCCCGGCCUGGGGCGCGGGGCCGGGGGCGCGGGGCCAGGGGAGGCGCCCCGGGAAGGUCACAAGAGCGGAGGCGCGGCGAACGGAUCGCGGCCCAGUGGGUGCGGGGAGCCGAGGCGGGCGGCCCCCGCCGCCAGGAGCGCUCGCCGGCCUCGGCCGCCGCCGCCUCCGAGAUGCUCCGGCUUCCCGGAGCGCGCGGCGCUCGGAGCUGGGCGGCCGCUGCAGCCGCCGCGGGCAGCCGGGCGCCGCUGGCCGGAGCCGGCGCGCGAUCCCCGCCUCCCGCGCCCGGCCAGGAGGGGGCCGCCGCGCCGGGGCCGGCAGGGGCGGGCGCUGGGGUCCGGGCUCCGGGCUGGCCCCGCCGCCUCCGCGUGCCCAGAGCGCCGGACUCGCUCAGCAGCUGCAGUGACUGUGUGUCUGUGUCAUGUCUGUGCAGCCGGGGGGGACCGCGAGCCGGGGCUGGGUUCCGAGCGGGGGCGGGGCCGGCGCCCGCUUCGGGGCCCGCCCCCGACCCCGUGACCGAGAGGCCGACCAAUGGCAAGCGCCGUAGCCGCACGGACCAACAGGCACCCCCGCACAGGCUCCGCCCCCCCCGGCGAGACUCCUCCCCUGUGCUUCUUCAGCUCGCGGGCAGGCAGGCGGAAGCAACACCCGGAGCCGGGAUCCCGGGCCGGGUCCGGAUGAAAGGGUGCAAGCUGGAAGCUCCCCGCCCUUCUCCCCCCACAGCCCGGCCGCUCGCGGCCGCCUCGGGCUUGGCGUGCCUCGCGAAAAGAGGGGGAAGGGAAGCGGGACGGGCCCGCAGCUGCCGCGGUAGAGACGCUCGCUGGCUUGCAGGGCCGGGCAGCCUUCUCCCCAAAUUGCACAAAACAGCCGUGGUGGGAAGUAGGAAGUUUCCCCGCCUCGGGUCGCCGCUUCUCUCAGAGCUGGGCAGGGUACGGGGCAGCAUGAGUCCGUGA
rnacentral:lncRNA from 13 species